UGUCAGUAUUAUAGGAACAAACAAGGCGGAAGGAAUUAAUUAAUUUUUAAUUUAUUUGAUUGGUGGUUGGAGCCUGUGGCAGUAUGUGUUGUCAGUAUAUUCUUUGAAGAGGAGAGGAGACUGGCGAAAAAUAGUUUGUUUUUCUUUAAAGUAGCACUGCUUUUAUUGGCAAAUGGCUCGUGGAUUUUAAAUUUAAGUAAAAGGUGGACAGUAUGAAUUGGAACAUGGGCCCACAGGGUGGUGUGUUGGAAAAGCGGUUCCAAAAAAGUGGCAGCUAACUCGGAUUCUCUUUUUUGAGAUGCUUCUUGCUCCAGACCGAGCAGGGUGUGCAGUAAGGGUGAUUGAGCCGAGAUGGCUUGAGCUCGGAGCAGCUUGAAUACUUGGGUCUUGCCAGGCGACAAGGGAUAUAAGGAUCAGAGAGAAGCAGUCUGCAGUAUGGAUUCGGAUGGCAAGUCAAUGAGGAGAAGAACCUGUGGCUUGAAUCAUAAAAUGUUUGGUCAACUGUUUUGAGGGAUUAGAUUCUUUUAAGCUGGAUGUCGGAUACCAAUGAGCCCCAGACUGCUCGUUCCCUUAGUGGUAACGCUAAGUGGAGAAGCCAAUUAAAUGGUAACGCUAAAUAAAUGGCAACGCUUAGUAUACUAGAAUAUACUGGAGUGAACAUGGAAUUAUUUAGUUACCAAUUCUGGUCACACUACGUUUGGAAAAGCUCUUUCUCAUCAUGGCGAUGAGCUGUCUCUUGCAGCUGUCGCGCUCGUCUCAUCCAGGGUCUGCACCGAAUUGGAGCGUCGUCUGUGUUGAGUGUACAAUGCGAGCAUGUUGCACUUACCCGUUGGUGGUUAUGUGAAGCAGCGAGUCGUCUGCCCCCAGGGCAGUGUUGCCAUUUUAGCUUAGCUAUUUUGAAACUGCAAAAGCUAUAAGAUUUUGUGAAAUGCUAUUAGCUAGAAAUCUAGCAUUUUUUUCAAAGCUUCGGCUACUUUUGGCACUUUUUAAAAAGUUCCGAUAGCUCUUUUACCGAUAGGAUGUAUUUUGAGGUUUACUCACAAAAAUUUGCAUUAUAGUGUGAUUCUGUUUAUAGUUCAUGUGCGAACUUAGUUCGUUCACUCAUUAGCUAAAUACAAAUUGUGAAAUUGUAAAAUCUGUGAAGCAGUGCUGCUAGUGUAGCAAUUUAGUUGCUUUAGUUAAUUUGCAACUUUUAAACUUAAAAAUGCUAUUAGCUACAAAUUUAGCAACUUUUUAUUUCUCUUUUGGCAAUUUGAGCUAUUUUACUUAAAUCCUUUUUAUUAUGUAUUCCUUUUGUCAUUUACUGCAAAAAUUGCGAUUAACAGUUUGCAAUGAAAUCGGGGCUUGUAUUUAACCAUGUGGUUCGAUUAUAUGAGCUACUUGAGUUCACUGUAAUAUUUGUUAAUCCUGUUUUUUUUUUUUUAAUUUCAAGAUUUUAUUCUUAAAUGAAUUAAAAAUGUACAAACUUGAUGAAUAAUGCCAUUUAAAAUAUUUAGCAAUUUUGUUGGCUAUUUUUUGUAUAAUUUUAGCAAUUUUUAGCAAUUUUUUUUCUGAAAUCCAGCAAUUUUUGCUCCAGAGAGUCUGGCAACAGGGUUUGUUGCUGCGUGUAGUGGUGUGUGUGCAUUUGCAUCUUGGGUGUAAGCUGUAUUUAUUAACGUUAUCGUUCUAUGAAAGUGGGCUGAGCACUGCGUCACAUGUGCUUCGUGGGGGCAGUGUAAUAGCGUCAGUUUUGUGUGUGGUUUGUAAUGGAGGCGUUCAAUUGUUGAGUGAAAUUUUAAUUUGUCUGCUUUUUAUUCCAGAGUAAAUCGCGCAGUUAAUUGCCGAUGGCCUUUUUCUUUCAAACGGGAAGUGUGAUUCUCCAUCUGUAGCCAAGAUGUCAGACCAUCUAAUUACGGGCGGGCAAUAAGUAGGCGCAAUUACAAUGAUAUCGUUUUUAUUGUUAUUCGCAGGCACGGUUGCCAUUUUUGGUACAAAUGUACCAAAAUUGGUACAUUUUUUAUGCGUUGGUACAUUGGAUCACUUUUUUUUCAUAUCGACUAGCACUGGAAAAUAUAGCAUACAGUCGAUUUGCGAUGUUUUGUGUCAGCCAAAUUUCUAAGCGAAGAAGAACUUUCCAUAGUACCUCUAAGAAAACCUUUGAAAAUUUAUACAAUGGUGAUCCUGAUGAUAUAAUAUCCCGACGUAACCAACUAGUUGCAGAGUUGCAACUCCGACUUUCUUUUAAGCAGGGAAAAGAAAUAAGAUAUUCGUAAAUUUUGGACAGACAUUGAAAGUAAAAAACGGCGUUGACGAACCGCUGUUCAGGAGCUUAAUAAAAUCCAUAAACAAUUUGAUGUCGUUGCCACACAGCUCUGCUGCAGCAGAGCGAAAGUUUUUUGAAAUUUCGUUAAUGAAAACUAAAUUACCAAAUAAAUUAGAAUUUAAAACACUAAAUAACUUAAUGUAUUGCAAGAAAUUGAUUGAUUGUAAAUACAUUCACUAUGUUUGGUCUACAAAAGACUGUUCAUUAU